AAACUGAGGUCUCUUACUUACUUGGGCCCACCUUGGGCUGAAAUGCCCUUCCUGCUAACUUUCUCUGGCUCAUCUCCAUCAUUCUGAAGAUCCAGUGAAGCCUCCAGAAGUUUUUGUCCUUGAUCUUUUUGUUAAAGUAUAAAACAAGAAGAUGCUAGGAAAUUGAAGAAAAAAAUUUAAAAACCCUUAACGUUUCAUUCUGGGUAAAGAGACUACUAAUUAUCCUCCAGUUCCUUUCUCUUCUUCUUUGCUAAUAGACCUGAAUCUGGACCAUUAACUCUCAGAAUAGACUGUGGUGCUGGGGAUUAAACCCAGGAUCUCACAAAUGGUGGGCAAACACUGUACCAUUGAGCUGUAUCCCCAGCCCCCUCUAACUGGUGAUAUUCUUACAUUGCUUUUAAAAAUUAGAAUUAUAGAACAUUGGUGUUAAAAGAAUCCUCAAUUCGAGCAGCCAUCGCUCAAGCGCCAGGAGGUAGGCCGGGCCCAGAUCCACCGCUGGAAGGAGAACCACGCCUGCUCCCGACCCAGCAGUCAUCGCUCAAGCACCGGGAAGGCUGUUGGGAGGAGCCAACGCCACAGUCUGCAAAUGCUUCUCUGCAUGUGAAAAAGAACAGCUCUUGGUAAAUCCAGGGGUCAUCCUGGAUUCCAGCAGAGCCUCCCAAGACUGAGUCUGUGCCAAGGAAGAGCAAUCAUCUUGUGGAAAUUGAAGCCAUUAUGGUCCUUAAGCUAGAAUGAUCACUCAGGAAUUGCAAAUCCAGGCCAAAGAUAGUGAUUAACCAGACCCCAACCCCAUAAAAUGGGCCUCUAUUGUGAAUGAGCCUGUCUCAUCCACCUCUUCAGAUCUGUACUCCCUUGACCUUUUUCAAGCCAUUCGCUUCUUCCCCCUUC
rnacentral:lncRNA from 1 species